UACUAAUACGAUGGAAAUGCUAGCUGUUUUUUCCAAGUAGAAAUGAACAGAUGAUACCGUAUAGCAGUGAACCUUGCAAAUCAUUAGUCAAAGCUUCGAUUGUGACGAUUUUUUUCUAAAAAAAAAAAAAAAAAAUUUAAUAAAUGACGGUGAAUUGUGUCUGUGAUUAUACGUUAUGUACUUUAAUUCACAUAAUAUAUAAUAUACAUUUCUCAUGUGUCAAACCCAUAUCAAGAAAAAAAAGAACUACAAUUGGAGGCUAAGUGACCAGAAGUUGGAUAAAGUCGAGUGAUAUACCUAUAUCUGCAAGUUUCCGCAGCAGCUCUAGAACCAAAUAACCUUGCAACGAAGGCGUAGUUUGUAACGCUUGAGUGGUUCUCACAACGUGGAAUAUGUCGAUUCGAGAACUCAUGCUUGCCAUUACGGUUCUCACAGACAUUUAGCUUUUCGCACACUCACGUAACAAAUCUCGAUAUAUAUACCUAUAUAUUUUACCCUAAUAGUCGCCAACCAACCUACUAUACUCAAUUGUAACAUCUCAGUCGCCGAUAAUAUCUUCAUCAUUUUUCUACACUUGACUUAUUUUCUGAUUGAAAUUCUAUUCUCGCCUUUACACCCGUAAUGAGCAAUAUUGUUUUAAAAAAAUUUAUAAUAUUUAAAAUAAAAAUAAAAAAAACCUCGCGGCGACUGUUGUAUAUAAAAGGUACAAAAGAUAAAAUUGAGACAAAACGUGAGUUUUGGCAAAAGCAUUUUUUCAAAAAAUAGCAUUCAAAUUAAAUUACCUGAGUUAAAUAGAUAAAAUAAAAAAAACAAACAAAAAAGAGAGAGAGAGAAAAAUAAAUAAUCAAAUAAACCUUAUAGCUAACAAUUCCCAACGCAUAACCAGAAAUUGUCGAGUCUACCUGAAGUUGCGCCAGGUUAUUAAAUACCAAUUUUUAUACCUUUAGAAAAAUUUUUGGCCAUUAUUGCGUAAUUUUACAUAUCACUUAUAAUAUCAAAAAAAACAUUAACAACUUGAAUGAAUUUUAUGUUAUUUAUUACAAACACCAAAACACAGUAAAAAAAAGUUAUUUAAGUUGAAAAUCACUCAAAAUUAAAGAAAAUAAACGACGUGUUGGCUGACACUUAGGCGUUGUCCGACAUCUUGAAACGCAAUCACCUGUUUUGCUUCCUACUCAUGCGCGGGCAUAAAUCCCACGUGGAACAUCCCUAAGAUAUCCUAGGGAUAAAAAUGAUAUAGUUUAAAAUUUCUAGUACAUAAGUUUAAAAUUAAAAAACACUUUGAUAAGAGUUUAUAAUAUUAAUUUGAAAAUAUAUUGUAUGAAAACAGUGAACGACACUCUUUAAUAAAAUGAAAAUUAUUUAAACUACUAUUUAAGUAACAUGAUAUUUAUUAAUAUUAUCACAAAUUUUAUUAUUCAGAUUUAAUGUACAAAAAAAGUUGCUUUUAAAAUAUAAUCAUUUAACAAUUUCUUCAUAUUUAUAAAAUUUGUAAUCAAUAAAGCACAUUUUUUGAGGUUAGUUUCCUAGAAAGUAAAAUAUUGAGGAAAAUAUAAACAUAUAAAAUUUUGUAUCAACUGUAUUAAUUUCUAAAUAUUGUAUAUUAAUUAAUUUACUAGUGCGAAAUUUAAAUUAAUAUUAUUUCUAUUGUUAUUAUCGUUUUCAAUAGCAGGUUUCGUUCACUGUCAGGGUGUCGGUCACUGUACCUUACCCUAUAGAAAUCAAGAAAAACCCGAGAAUAUGUUGAAGAAUGGAAACUCGAUGAACAUGAAGGGACUCAAACUUUACUGAAAUCAUUGGACGUUGAUUGGCUGAUAAAAUUCCUCUACUGGAAGUGGCGCGUGACUUAUUCAAAUUUGAAUUUCGAUAUAACCAAAUUUAUAGUUUUUAUUAAUAAUCAUUUGUUAUUAUUAAAAAAAUAGCUUCGGAAUAGUGUAGAUAAUAACAUAACUAAUUAAAUUUUUAUGAUACAAUUUUUUUUUUAAUUGUACUAUAGUCGCAGUCUUUGGAUUAAAGCUGUUUCUUGCUCCAUUCAUUAAUUAUUUGUCCUCAAGCUGCAUCUUUGGCUCUUUGAACUUCGAAUAAACUAAGAGCUAUUGGUUUAUUUAAUCUUUUUUCACUUUUCUGUUAAUGGCCUCAUCCGAAACGAGCUUAAAGAAAGAAAAAAAGACAAUAACUUAUUUUUAUAUAAAGAUCGUAAUUUCUCCAAAGAAAGAAAAUAAUUUUUAUAUACUUUUAUAAAGAAAGAUAUUGAACAAAAAAAAGUGACAAUGAUUGUACGAAAUUCUUGAAACGACACGAAGCUGAAUUUCCGUAUUCGGACAAAGAUCCUUGACAAAGAAGAUUAAUAUUCGAAUCUUCGCUAUGUGACAGAAGAAGCCAUUAUUGCGAAUCUCAACUCUGCUAAGCACCGAGAAGGCCAGCAUUAAAUUCUCAAUGUCAUCUUUUACAAUGUUCUCGAUGGAGAAAUUACUUUCAUUAAAUUUGCUUCCGACAAUGAUAUUUUACUAGAAACUCAAUCCGUGGCAAUUUUAUAAAAAAAAAUUAUUUUUUUUAAUAGAUGAAAAAAUUCUGUAUUUAAUUGCAUUUAUUAAAAAGAUUUAAAU